rnacentral:rRNA from 1 species
GACGAACGCUGGCGGCGUGCUUAACACAUGCCAGUCGAACGGAAAGGCCCUGCUUUUGUGGGGUGCUCGAGUGGCGAACGGGUGAGUAACACGUGAGUAACCUGCCCUUGACUUUGGGAUAACUUCAGGAAACUGGGGCUAAUACCGGAUAGGAGCUCCUGCUGCAUGGUGGGGGUUGGAAAGUUUCGGCGGUUGGGGAUGGACUCGCGGCUUAUCAGCUUGUUGGUGGGGUAGUGGCUUACCAAGGCUUUGACGGGUAGCCGGCCUGAGAGGGUGACCGGCCACAUUGGGACUGAGAUACGGCCCAGACUCCUACGGGAGGCAGCAGUGGGGAAGAUUGCAAAAUGGGCGGAAGCCUGAUGCAGCAACGCCGCGUGCGGGAUGACGGCCUUCGGGUUGUAAACCGCUUUCGCCUGUGACGAAGCGUGAGUGACGGUAAUGGGUAAAGAAGCACCGGCUAACUACGUG